GGAGAGUUUAAUUCUAAUGGGAUGCCUCUGGUUCUUUGUUGGCUUCUUGCUUCGACGAUGGAAUAUUGCAGUAGAAGCUGCAGUUAAAAUUCUUGAAUGGCUACAAUCAAUAUUCGUCAAUGGAAGUUAGAUAUUGAAUCAGUUUUUCGAACAUAAGAUGAUGCUUGUCCUACCAGUGAUGAAAAGCAGUCUGUUAAGUUCCGGCUUUGCAUUCGAUGAGCUUGGUCUUCUAAAAUGGAUUCAGGUUAAAUUUUGUAUCAAUAUGUUGUCAUCUUUGUAUGAUUAUUCGGUCAUGACAAACUAGGACCACUAUCCAUGUAUAAAUCUCAAGAUAGAACAUUGUACGUCUCUAAUUAUGAUACUUGAAGUUCACAUUGUGAAUCUUUUUUUUUUUGUAUAUAAAAUUCUUUGA